rnacentral:rRNA from 1 species
CCUGGCGGCACUAGCGCGGUGGUCCCACCUGACCCCAUGCCGAACUCAGAAGUGAAACGCCGUAGCGCCGAUGGUAGUGUGGAGUCUCCCCAUGUGAGAGUAGGGAACUGCCAGGC